rnacentral:rRNA from 1 species
CUACGGGUUGCUGCAGUGAGGAAUUUUGCGCAAUGGGGUGACCCCUGACGCAGCAACGCCGCGUGAGUGAUGAAGGCCUUUGGGUCGUAAAGCUCUGUCAAGUGGAAAGAAGUUAUGUAAUGUAAAUAGCAUUAUGUAUUGACGGUACCGCUAAAGGAAGCACCGGCUAACUCCGUGCCAGCAGCCGCGGUAAUACGGAGGGUGCAAGCGUUAUUCGGAAUUAUUGGGCGUAAAGGCGCGUAGGCGGCCAAACGAGUCAGAUGUGAAAUCCCUGAGCUCAACUCAGGAAGAGCAUUUGAUACAGUAUGGCUUGAGUAUGGGAGAGGGAAGUGGAAUUCCUGGUGUAGAGGUGAAAUUCGUAGAUAUCAGGAGGAACACCGGUGGCGAAGGCGACUUUCUGGACCAAUACUGACGCUGAGGCGCGAAGGCGUGGGUAGCAAACAGGAUUAGAUACCCUGGUAGUC